AUUGGCAGCGCCGCACGCGCGGGCGCCGCCCGCGGAGCGCGGAUGUGGGAGACGCGGGGCCGGCAUGGUGGUGCUGCGCGGCCUGCGGCGGCGUUGGAACGCCUAUAAGUACCGCUUCGUGCCCUGGCUGGCCUUCAACGUCCGCCGCCAGCGCAGGACGCUUCGGUACGUUCCUGAAAGCUCCCAGGACAAAAUAGUCCCCGAUGAAAUUGUCUUAGAGACGCUGCUGAAAGUAUUCACAGCGCUGUUGGUAAACGACUUCGGCCGGCACGUGCCGGCGCUGUCCCUGCUGCCCGCCGUCGGGCGGAGGUACGCGCAGUUACGGAGCGCCGCGCUGCAGCCGGGCGCUGGGAGCUCGCGGAGCCGCCAGGUGCUGCUCAGCCCGGAGGAGGUCCUGUUCCGGACGCUGGGGUUCAGCGUCACCCGGGACCGGAGCUCCCUGCUUUCUGCCGGGACCGGAGUCUUCGUUAGCAAAGGCUUCGUGCCGAAAGGGGCGCUUGUGGCCAUGUAUCCCGGUACGGUCUACAGAAAGCACGAGCCCAUCUUUUUCCAGUCGCUUGGCAAUCCGUUUAUUUUUAGGUGCAUAGAUGGUAUUCUUAUUGAUGGGAACGAUAAAGGACUGUCAAGAUCAGUGUACAGGUCUUGCAGCUGGAGGGAUCAGCUUGGCCCCUUUCAGAUGAGCGACGUGAGCUGGCUCACGGCUGCUCCACAGAACCCACUGGCUGUGGGACAGUAUGUGAACAACUGCUCCUACGAAAAAGCAGCCAAUGUAUGUUAUCAGGAGUUUGAUGUGCCAAGACAUUUUCCUGUAGAACUGAAACAGUAUCUUCCAAACAUCGUCUACAGCCACGAGAUAGAGAGGUUAGCAGUGAGUCAAAGAGCUCGUAGAUUUGUGUGAAUCAAAGCAUACUGCAUGUGUGGAAAAGGAAAACGUGUUUGAAGGGAAUGUUAGUCCAUGAGAAGAUGCCACCUGAGGUGUGUAGUGCUUGUCACUCUCAGAGACAUCAAGCAAGGAGAAGAACUUUUUUCUAAUUACUACACUAUUGUCAAUU